GCGGCGCCCAUUGUGCCCGGCCCGCCGCCGGGCCGCCCCUGGGCCGCCCCGAACCUGCCGGCAGCCCUCAGCGCGCCCGACGGCCCGGCUCUGCAAGUUGGGGCCCGCGCCUGCCUCCCGCCCGGGAAGCACGUGAACUUGGAGAAAGUCGCGGGGCGCGCCGGCCCGGACCUCCGCGGCAGGGCGUGGGCGCCCCCAGCCCGAGCGCUUUCGUUUUCGUCCCGGACAAAGGUCCCUCGAGGCGCUAGUCGCGGACGCGGAGACCGGGUUCUGCCGGCCGCUCCUCGGAGAGGUCCGAUGGUUCCAUACGGCCAAGUCGGAGUCAGGAGAGGAGGAGCGGCGCGGCGCGGGACCGGGGGAGUGGGGCCUGGCCGUGCGCUUCGCCCGGCCAUCUCCGUCCCGGAGCCGUCCCGCCCUGCGAAGAGUUGCGGGAGAUGGCACCGCGCUGCACUCUGCGAUUUACACGCGUGGAGGAGAGAAGCGUUUGGGACCCGGGCUCAGACCCACGGCCCAGGGCCUGUGCCGUGUGGGCAUGAGAGCGCGGCGCUGGCUGCGUCCGGGCGCGUUCCUCCGCCAAGGGCAGGGCAGCCGACCUGUGUGUCCCCGGUCACGAUCGGGUUCCGGGCGACUCCUGAGGGUGGUGGCUCACACACAGGCCCAGCCGGCGGCCCUGGGGAGUUUGUGGGGAGCAAGAAAUGGGUGAAGGAAUGCGCGUUUGCCGUAAUUACAGGGUUGUAAGGACUAAUCUGAGGGGCUUGUGAGCCCACCUCAUCGGGGACGGCGUGGCAGCGCCCGAUGGACAGGCCUGAGCCCUGAGCACCUGCAGCCCACGGAGGGAGGACUCCAGAACCUGACUCAUUCCAGAGCACCCCCAAGGAGGCAGGACCCAUUUUGGCCUUCAGGAGACCCUCCAGGACUGCAUAGCCCAGGACUCUCGCCUUCUUCCUGCCUCCUCAUCCUGCAGGCGACCCCUGAAAGUCACGUUGAUUCUGCCUCCCUCAGGUCAGUACUGCAUUUUGAACCUUGAAAGUCAGGGCUCCCCCUUCCCCCAGACACCCCCCAGGCCUGGGCACGUCUGAAAUGGGACACGCGUGUGUGCACGCACACACACACGUGCACACCCACACAGCUUGUGGAGGACUGAGGAGCCGGGCAGGCUCAGCUGGGUCUGCUCUGGCCUCGGCCCUGACCUGCCACCGACCUCUUUCUAUAGCCAAGGGACCAAGGUCUGCCAGGAGUCAGGGGCUUGCCCAGGACUCUUGCCCCAGGAAGCUGGACUCGGGCCCGUCUUUCCGGCUCCCUUCUGCACAGAAGUUGAGUGCAGCCCCUUCUGCAAGGAGCCAUCUGUCUCGGGGGUCUGUGGUGGGAGGGCUUGGGCCAGCUGCUGGGACGGUCUGAAGUGUCUGUGGAGUGGGCUGAGUGCAGGGGCUCAGCAGGUGUAAAGGUCCUCAGCCUGCCACUCCCUAGCUCAGCCACCCCGUGGCCCUGACGGGGGCCUGUCGUGCUCAGAGCCCCUGCCCACGCUCUGCUCCUCCAGAGAGCCGGCCUGCGGGGCAGAGUGUAGGGCCCACUUGGCUGAGUCUAGCCUCCUGGGGAGUCCGUGGGGCCAUGUGGGCCAGACAGGCGUCACCCCUCCCCCCACUGUUGCCAUGGCCAGGGGCAGGCCUACCUCCCAGGUCCGUGUUCCCAGGCUGUUGCGUCUGGGCUCAGGACCCCUCUGCCAUCUGGGCCCUGUGUGUUUACAGGUCCAGCUUGCUCGAAAGAGUCUGCAGACGCUGCCCCGGGGCUUUUGUGUCUGCACGCAGAGCGUGUGCCAGCCGGGGCCCGUGGAGGGGGGGUGGAACGUGGGUGGGGAGAGGGGGAGGCCCCCAGAGGACGUGGGACAGGGGAAGGGGGACGUGAGGGGAGGAUAACAGAGGAAGGGGACGAAGGGAGAAAGCAGAGCAGGGCGCGGAGAGAGAGGAGACAGAGCAGAGCGGUUAGAAGCUGUGGGAGGCUGUUGCUGGGGAAACGGGGCCUGAGGGUGCAGCUGGUCCCAGAUGUCCCCAGGGCCUGUUGGGCUGUGCCCCAGGCCAUCUAGUCCAGGUGCUUUCCUGGGCAUCCACUGUGAAAUCUCCAGCCGUGGUAGCCUCCGGGCUCCCGAUGAGACCCAUACCCGCGGAGGGAUGUUCCUCAUGCGGGCUUGAGCACCAGAACAUGCACCUGGGCCCUGAGUCUCCAAGCUCUGAUGGACACGUGCAGGAGGCCACGGGGUGGGUCCCCAGGAACAUGGGCAGAGGUCCAAGGAGACAGGGCCAGCCCACCUAGGAGGCCAGAAGGGCUCCUAGGCUAAGGCAACAGGGCCCGUGCACAGCAGCUGAGGCCCAGGACAUAUGGGGAAUGGCCUGGGGGGGUGACAGGCCUGGGAGAGUGGGCUCUCCCAGGGCAGAACUCGUAGUCCCCACACUGUGCAGUGGAUGGAAUGCAUGCAGAUCAAUGCACACAGUAGGUGCUCAUUCUCUGCUCACCCGGAGCCUGAGUAGUCACCAGUAUGACUGUACAGCCGUCGCUGCAGGGGUGAGGACAUGCUCAGGGCCAGAGGGGAGGGCCACGCUCCUGUGCGCACACGCGGUCGGUAGCCCCAGCACUACCAGCAAGGUGGGGCUCACCAUCUCCAUUCUGUUCGGCCAGAAACAGGCUGGUGGCUGGGCAUAGCUCAACACUGGCCUCACCCGUGUUCGCGGAGGGUCAUUGGGACAAUGGAGCCCUUUCAGGAUGCUGGGCUGGGAGGUGCCGAUGGUUUAUGGGGGACGGUGACUCGGUUGGUGGGAUUUGUUUGGGGACUGACUCGGUAUUGUUCUCCGUGAAGUCUGUGCCGACUUGGCCCAGGAUGGGGAGAAGUUUGGGCACAGGAGGCUCCCUCCGUCUCUAGUGCCUUCCCCUGUGCUGAGCCCCUGGUGCCUCCCCAGGCCCAGUGCAGACAGGAGCCACGUGCCUCUGCUCAGCGCCCAGUGGUGCCUUGUUCCCUGAAGGGACGUGGCCCUGCCAGCCUCAGCACCCUGGGCUCCUGGGGACAGACGGGCUGCCCUGGUUCCAGAAGAACACUGCAUGGCCGGGCCACACCGCGGAGCCCCCGCUGCUGGCUCCAAGGCUGACCUGUGCCUGGUGCCCACGGCCGAGGAGGGACAGAAAUUUAUUCUAAUGCUAACCGUCUGGAUAGCCUUUAUUUGCCCAGAUAGAAAUUAAGGCCUUAAAAAUACCUCAAGUUUGAUCUUUUGAUCCGAGUGAAAAUAUUGACAAAAUGCAGAACGAUGGGCUUCAUUCAGGGCUUACGUCUCGGUUCCAAGCAGCGCUCUGGCUGGGGGUGGUUAACCUGAAACGGGAGGAGAGAUGGGACACGCGGACCCUCUGAGGACGGGUGGCAAGGAGAGCCUGUCCUGCGAGCUGCACCUGACAAAGCCGCCUUCCGUUCGGGUGCUGGUACUGUGCCAGGCCCUGAGCUGGACCCCCCUCCUGUAAGAGCCAUCACUGCUGCUGACAGCCCUGCUGGGGGGCGCCUUGGGGGGCAGAGGCUCAGGGAGGUCCAGGGGCCAGCCCCAGACCACCAAGCCAACCGGCAGCAGAGCAGGGGCCUGGCCCACUCAAAAGCAGAAGCACUUCUGGGUUCCAGGAGUGUGUGGCUUCCCUUGAGGUACCAGGCUGCUGGAUGCUAAGAGGCAGCCUCCCUGGGGGGCAGGCAGGAGGCAGGGGACAGGGUCUCCAGCUCAGGCCCUCCGUGCAGUGGUGCCCAGGGUGGGCUAGAAGGUUCUUCCCGCCAUCUUGCCACUGGAGUGAAACCAAGCGGCUCCUAGACCCAGUGCGGCUGGGAGUGUCCGGGGCUGCUGUCUGUGCUCCGCGGUCUGGGCUCAGCAGGAUGCUUGGCUUCAGACAUCUCCCUGGUUAGAGGCCUUGUUCCCCAGUUGUCCUGGAGCUGCAAGGCCAGCGGACCAGCUCUGGGUGGGAAAGCAUGGGCUUCUACUCUGCUCAGCAGCCUGAGGUCCCUGCCCCAGCACGCCUGAGUCUGAGCGGUUCUUCUCCAAGAACACCUGCCCACCGAGCCUGGCCGGCCUCGGAGGACUGGGGAGCCAGGACACCCCUGCUGUCACUUGGAGGAAGAGAAAGUGAAUGUCUCAGACGUGGGGCUUCCUGGGGUCACCUAGUACAGAGGGGUCUGGUCCUUCUUAGCAGCAUGACCUGGCCAGUAAAUGGAGACGUCGGUGGGUUUCUGUUUGCUCGUGCCUAAAACACGGGAGGAGGCGGCCUGUCUCGGCUGUGUGUGGGGAGGUAGCUUAGCCUCCCUCUGCUAGUCUCUCCUCCGCGGAUCGGGCUGUAAAGGGGGCGGACGGGGGCGCUCGGUGCAGUCGGCUCAGGUUGGUGCCUGGCAUGCGGCGGGUGUGCGGUGUCUGCGUUUGGCCCUUUUGCCACGGGGAGCACAUGCCCAGGAAAAGGCACACACGUUGGCAGCAACAUUGGGCAAAUGGGGAUUUGAACCAGGGCUCCCGGGAGAGGUCCUCCAUGUCCUCCUUGAGGACAGCACCUUGUUCACGCUCUGCAGGUUGUCAGGACCACUGUGGUCACAUGAGCGACGGGGACUGUGUCAUCUGCCCUCCACACCACUGUCGCCACGGCAGCACCCACCCUGUAGGAAAGGUGUGGGGCUUCCCUCCCAAUCCCACCCUCCUGUUUCUUGACACAGGCCCGGGCCCUGGCUCUGGAUCAGCCCGUCCCCAUCAGAGCACAGGGCCUGGGCUCUGUCCCCGCGCGUGAGUUGCAUCUCCCUGGACGCAGUGCCCUUCGAGUGUCCCACGCUGGCCUCAGCCAGAGCCAGGGCACAGAGAACCCCUGGGCCUCAGUCUGCUGCUCUCAGGUUUUCACUGUGCAUCAGCAGGGAGGAGGCCUGUGGCUGGCCCCGUGGCCCCCAGAGCAGUCCUGCUUGUGUCUGCCAUACGUUUGGGGUCCUGAGUGACAUCUGGUAAAGAUAUGGAGACCACGGGCAGGGCAGAGUCAUAAAGACACGGGCGCUUGGUGUGUACCCGCUGCCUGGCGGGCUGUGCUCCAGAGAGGCCAGGUGUCUGUUGGGGCAGCUCCUUGGGUUCCCAGAGAUCACAAACAAGGGGGUGGAUGCAGGACGGGAGCCUCGAGGCCCCAUCAGGCAGGUGCUGCAGGAGCUCAGGGAGGGGGAUGUGGCCAGGCGUCCCCGAAGCUGGUCUUGCUGGUGUCCCCGUGGCGCUGCCCUGGCAUGGCCGGUCCUGCCAGCUGUCCCUGUGCCUGCCGGCAGUGGGCAGGAAGAAGCUGCCAGCCUGGACCACAGGGUGGGAUGUGCUGGGAUGUCCCUGGAAUGCAGGGCAGCCCUCAGGCCAUCUGGUCCGAGGCCACCCCGCGUCGGGCAAGGAAAGACUACCGUUUGCGGGGCUGGGGCAGAGGAUGAUUUUCACCCGGAAGGAGCCCAGGCCUGGGAGGCCAGGAGCCUACGCUCACCCCGCCUCUCAGCGUCACCGCCUCGCACUGGGCCGCCCCUCUGUAAGGCAGGAGAGCAUCAGUGCCACUGCCCAGGCCAAGAGCUCAUCCCCAGGACCACCCAGAGCCCCUCAAAGGGGUGAGGGUGCCUCUGGCAGCUCAGGGUGGCCGGGGGCCUGGGCUGGAGGAAGGUUCCAGAGAGGGCACUGCCUGCCGCCCUCUCUGGCCAGGCCCUCCUGGGCCUCCGUGCAGGCCAGGCGGCCACACUUCCAGAGUGGAUGUCCGUCCUUCCUGCCCCCGGCUGCCGGCUGCCUUUGUCUUCCUGGGGCUGCACAAAAUGGCCGCUGCAGCCCUCCGCCAUUUUGUGUGUGAGGCGGGCGGGCGGGCGGCCCGGCGGGGGAGGAGGGAGGGAGACCACUGCCCGGCCGCCUGCCCCGAGUGGCCUGGACGGAGCCCAGCACCAGCCCCCGCCCCAGCCUGGCCUUGGCCGCGGCUGCCCUGGGCUUGGCACCAGCGCGCGUCUUGGCAAGGCCGUCCGGGAACCCCGGCCCUUCACCCAGCCUGGCCGGCCCCCUCGCCGCCCCCCAGACUUCCCUGAUGAGCAGACGGAGAUGCUGCGAAGCAGAGCCCAGAAGAGCUGUAAUUAAAGCCAUGCUCCUGGAGGGAGUCCUUGGCAGCCACGGGCCGACACGGAUGUUUCUAGAAAUGACGCUCACCCGAGUGGGUGGGGGUGGGCUCCCCGGACUCACUGCGACAGGGCCGGGUCUUUUCCAGGCCACGCUGGGGAGAGGAGCCCCGCGCUCAGCCCUCUGCUCGUCACCCCACACCCUCACCUGCCUGGGGAGCCUCUGGGCCCCCUGGUGGGGCCGUGUGCUGGGCCCUAGGCUCGUGGUGGUCGGUCAGGUUUCCGGUCUGGACUCAGGUCCUGCCUGUCCUCAGGAAGCAGGGACAGGGGGCUUCCUGGAGGAGGUGAGCUUGGUGCCAAAAGACCAGGGUGCCACCCUGCAGCUGGGCUUCCCCCGGGGCCUGAGCCAGCUUACUCUUCAUUGCACAGAGCUGGGGGUGAACCCCUUGCAGCCCAGCCCCCUGCCCCGCACAGUCCUGUCUUCUGGGGGACACACAUCCCCUAGAGCCAGGCUAUCCUGAAGAGCGUCUUUCCAGAGCUGGGAGCCAGCGGGCACCUGAGGCCUCCUCCUGCACUCCCGCUCCUGCUCUGGGCCCGGCAUUAACAAGCUUAGCGCUCUGCCCGCGCCCAGCGGGUCAGCACGUUGUGGGGGAGAGACUGUCACGCAAGCAGCAGGCUGCCUGGCAUCCGGGGGCCUUGGCGGUGGGGACUGGGCAGCCAUAGAGGAGACACCCUCGUCUCUGGAGCCAGCACCGGGCCCCUCGCUGUGGGCCACCGUGCACCACUGGCCUUGGCAGGUGGGUGGGAGCGGCGUGCCUCCGCACCUGCCCCCAGUGCCCGGUGUUGAGGUCCUCCGAGGGCCGCGCACCUCCUAGACGAACUUAGACGUGACCUUGCACAGAAGCAGGGAGCGGCAUUUGAGGAGUGCACGUUUGAAGGGGCUGACGCUGUUUCUCAUGCAGCGUGGAGUAUGCAAGGCGGACCUGGGGGCUUGGCCCCGAUCUGUGUCGUCUGCAUGGCUGAGGGUCAGUUCCGCCCCGUCAAGAACACCCAGGGAGAGCUUGGGCAGCAGGGUGGGGCCUCGGGAGCUGCUCGAGGCCUCCCGCAGACACCUGUGGGGCAGCCAAGCCCUUCAGGCUGGGAGGGUUGCAGGACGCUGCCCCAGGCCCUUCCCAGACGCUCUCUUGCUGCAGUUCCCAGAGAGAACAUUCCUUCACCGUUAAGGGAGGUUUACUCAUGGCCUGGCUCCCUCCGGGGAGUCUGUGGCACAGGAUGGUGGCCACGUGCCAGGCCGGACCCAGCACCUCUCGGGGGAACGCAGAGCCCCACGGCAGAAUGAGCGUCUCGGAGGGGACUGUGCCAGCUGGGCCUGCUGUGGGUGGGCUUUCGUGCUGGACGGUUUUAAUGAUAAGUACGCAUCCGGUCCCCUCCCUUACCCCUGCUCCUCGCCUUGUGACCAGACUAGCUUGAACUGAGAGCACUUCAGAUAGAUGCGCCCUUUGAGGCUGACACCGUUGCCUAAUGAUUACCACCACACGGAGACACCAGAUCGGAGGGGCUCGCCUCCGUGCUUCUCCCCUUGGAGUCCAGGCAAACCCUGCAGUGGCGAACACCUGCUCUCCCCGCUGACACCCCUCCCCGGGCACAGAGGCCCCCUGACCUUCCUCCCGAUGGCCCUGGCGUCCUGGUCCCACGCUACAGAGCGGGCAGCUGAGGCCAGACGUGCUGACUUGCCCCAGGCUCAUCACUGCUCGGUGCCAGAGCCGGGGUCAGAGCCAUGACCUGUGGACCUCAGAGCCAGCUGUCCCUUCUUCCCCAUGCCCAUGGCCCCCAUGGAGGCUGGUGUGUCUGCAGAGCCAGCCAGCCUCCCCGGCCAGCACCUGCCUCCUGGCUUCCCAAGGGCUGCCAAGUGUUACUUUUGUGGGCCUCCAGACUCCCACAUCUGUGGCCCAACUGUCCAGCCUCCGCGGCGUGCCCGGCCGCCUCCACCCUGCCAGCUUGGAGGUCUCUGGGCGCGGGAAAGCCGGGAGCUGGAGCAGGACACAGGCUUCCGAGGUGCCCACUGUGGCGGGGGUCGGGUGCAGCUGGACACAGAGGGUGCAAAUAAGAGAACGCUUUGGGGCCCAGAGACGGAAGGAGGGCUGGGGUCUGUCCAGAGCCAUGGGGCUGGGGUGGGGUCUCCUGCCUGGAGGUGCCUCUUCCCCACCUGCGUGGCUUGUGCCUCCGAGAGGGACGCGGGGCUGUGGAAAGAGCUUAGCGUCAGGGAAAUUCGGAUUCUCGAUCGGUUUUGCUACUCUGUCCCCGGGGUGUGCUGUUGGGCGCGGUGAGGCCUCUGCCCCUUGUACUCCCCGGGUGGCUGGAGCCUGAGGCAAAAGGAGCAGUCAGUAACCCGGCUCGGAUCUGUCUGUAGGUUGGAUGUUUUUAUACCACGGACACUUUUGCGUUCAUUCUUAAGACUUUUACUUUAAGAUAUUUGUCUUGAUUGCUGAGUUUUGGCGCCCCAGAAAUGGUGUGCCCGAGGUGCAGGUCUGGCCGGCCUCCCCACGUCCUGGCCAUGCCAGGCCCAUGGUGGGCACACAGCCCCCUGUCCCGGCCCAGGUCGAUCACACUGCCAUCUCCUUAACUUAAGGCCGUGUGUGCAGGGAGACCCACCCCCCGCCCGGGCCCCCGGAUGCCACCCCCAUGUCUUUUUUCCAGACUCCAUUGUUGGCACGGCUUGCCGAGCAGAAACACUGGCCGCUUUAUGGGGAGAAACCUAAUCGGGGCGGCAGUGGGGGGGGGACAGCGGCUGGGGGGGGGUUCCCGGCUCUCCAUGGCCCUGAGCCAAGCCCGAGGUGACUGCGGGGUGACACCGUCUGUCUGCCUCCCUUGCUCCAGACAUCCGCCCAGCCCUGAAAGGGCCACCUGCCCACGAAGGCCUCCCACACACCUGUCCCUGGCUGGCCUGGCUCCUCCCACCCGGUGCUGCCCAGCACCCCGCCUGUAGGCAGACGCCGCGGGACCGGGCGGGCUGGUGCUGGCAGCUGGCAGCCCUGCUUGGGGAGCCCCCUUCACAGUGCGUGGUCUGCCCCCCUCUGCCAGGUCUCAUCUGGGCCGAUUGGCAGGGGUCCUUUUGGUCUGUCUCAGGAGUCCCACUGUCUUCCCAGAAAAGAGGCCCCUCCCCAGGCUGAGGCCCAUGGUGACCCCUAGGACUGUGGGGCACGGAGGCCCAGCAAAUCCUCCCCUCCAUCUCAGACACACCAGCGUGGGGCUUCUGCCCCAGUAGCUCAGAAAUGUCCCCACAAAUGGGUCAUAGACCCAGAAAUGUACAUCCUAACCCCCCCCAACCCGGGUUGUUGGCUAAAGAAAACCACGUUGUGUGUGAGCCCUCUCUCGGUAUGGGCAAAGCCAGAGCGGGGAUCCUGCUGCGGGUCACGAUCCCUGCUCACCUAGAGGAAUUGGAAGGCAGCGGCAAGCCUGCGGGGAAGCCGCCCAGGCCCUCGGGAGAGAGGAAUGCCGCCACGGCCACCAAGCACCUCUCCCCCCUGCCUUGCCACCUGCCGCAGGGCUGGCUCUUCCCGAUGUGAGGCCUGGGGCCCCCGAGAGGACGGCUGGCCCCAGAGCUGGGCAGAGCUGGGAUUCCUCGUUGGGGCCUCCCAUGGCUUCUGGAGAGGCCCACACAGAUAGGAGACAGGGCCCUCGUGGGCACGCAGCUGGAAGAACUGGGGGCGGUCUCCCCUGGCAGAGGACAAACAAAGACAGAUGGGCCGGGGGGGUCAGAGGCGGCCUGCCCUGGGCAUUUUUCUGCUCCAGAGGCUGGUGUAGGGGAGCCGGGGCUGGGCAGGGACUUGGUGGGAAAAAGCAGAGGUGCGGGCCUGGGGGGUCUGGCUCCGAGUGUGGCAUCUCGGGCUCAGCUUCCAGCCCUCCGAGUGGUCAGCAGUCCAGCCAUGUGCUUGUCUUCUAUCGCGUCCUUUCCUUGGAGGACCUGUGUGGCUGGCUCCCGUUCCUCAUGCCAGUCCUGGCCGGUCAUCCGGCUGGAAUGGGCCGGGGCCAGGUGCGGCAGUGAUCCAUCCAGCAAGGACUGGCUGAGGCCUCGGGGCGGGUUUCUGGAGCCCCUUCCUCAGGAUUUCUGCUCUCAGGAUUUCUGCUCUCAGGGGGGUCCCAGGCCUUGCUUGCCAUGGGACAGGGGCCUCAGCCUGGCCAGAGCCUCCUCUGUAAAGUGGGGACCCCAGCUCCUCCCUCUUGGGGUCCCACCAACUCCAGGCCCCAGGGUGUCCACGCGAGCUUGACGGGCGCUCGCUGCCCAGCCCGGGAAUGUCGGGGGCCCUGACUGUUGAGAGACAAGGCCUGAGUCUCAGUCCUCUUUGGCCCAGAACUAUCCAGCUGCGGGUCUGCAGAGGCUCCCCUCCAGGCCCUUGCAGGGAGCGCGUCCCUGGCGAGAGGCCGCUCAGGAGUGCAGGAUGCAAGGGCUGGCAGGUGCGUCGGGGGGAGGAGGCCCAGAGCAGCGCCCCGAACUCCGAACUCCGUCCUGCCUUGGGGCCUGGCUGCGUCUCUCAAACCUGACGCUUGUCACUCUUUUCCUAAAUCCCGAACAGGUCAAGAAGUGGUGCUGAUCUGGGGGCUUCUGUCCGUGGUCGGCCUUCCUCACCGUGAGUGUGUAUUAGGGCAGGGCUCCGGUCCGGGCGGCUCGGGCAGGCUCCACCCUGCAGGGCCCCCUUCCCCCUGCCCUGCUCUGGCCAGCCUAGCCUGAACCCGCGGGAGGCCUCGCGCUGUCGUCCCGCUGGGCACAGGUCGGCGAGUCUGCCACCCCAGCCUCCGUGUGGGUGCGCACCUCGGUGCCUCACAGGAUGACCUCUGGCACCCCCGCACACCUGUCCCGCCGUCCUCGCUCGAGGAGGGAUGUGGUCAGAGCUGUGUCCCUUCCGUUCACCUCCAGGUCCUGCCAUCAGGCAUGGGGGUCCUUGAUGGGGAUCUGGGGGUGCCACAGCCAAACCUUUGUCCAAGCCGUACCCUCCACCUGCAGCCACACCCCUCUGCCUCCUGCCGCUCUGCAGUCCGGAGCUGAGGCCCAGGACGCGCCCUUGCACUUGUGAGCUCGUCACUUCUGGCGGUUCUCUGUGGCCUCCGCCCUGACUGGAUGUGGCCUGAGAGCCGUGGUCUGUUACAGAGUCUGGACACAGGAGGAGAGCUCAGCCCUGUCCCACUCUGCACCGUGAGGAUUCUUCUGUCCCUGGGGCUCACCGUCCAGUGCACCUGCUACCCUUGGGCUCACCUUGCCUUGAGGGCCCUUUGGGGCCAGCAAUCCUGGAGGUAGCCCCUUCUCUCUGCCCAGCUGUGAACCAGCCCUCGAGUGCAGUCCUAAUGCACCCAGGCCACCUGUCAUUGACCCGCGAUGCUGCACGGUGAGUCUAGCCUGAACAGGAACAAAGGCCAAGUAGAGGAAGCCAAGUCACGUGUGCUCCUCCCAGGCUGGGCUGGAGGCCGCUGGAGGGGGUGCUUGUGGUGGCAGCCGGGGGGGACCAGGGUGUGUGUCUCUUCCUGUCUCCCUUUCUCUCCCCGCCCCGGGGGCCCAGCACACGGGCUGGCCUCGUGUGCAGUCUGUGUCUCCCGGCUGGGGCUGGGGCCCUCCUGGAGUUAGCUCUGCAGGCCUGGAGCUAAAGCCCGGGUCUUGGGGAGGGCAGGCGGGUGCAGACCGCAGGGCAGGGUGUUGGAGUCUACGUAGUGGCACACGCAUGGAUUCCAGCUCUGGCUCAGGGCGGCCUGCUGCUACCCAGACGCCUCGAGGGGCAGCUCCUGCACUGACCCCACGUCUCAGCGAGGAAGUCCAAGCCGAGAGGGUAUAAGAUGUGCCCAGAGAAGCACAGAGGGGAGGCCAGCCUGGUUUUGCAGCCAGCUCCACCUGCCGGGCUCCCCUGCCUUGUGCUGCCCUCGGCCUGAGGGGGCCAGAGGUCAGAAUCAGGGGGUCCCUGCGACCUGAGGGCAUUGGGGUCUCGGCAGCUCAGUCUAAAGUCCAGAGGCCAUGCUUAGGGUCCCUCCCCCAGAGUCCUCUGGGACAUUCAGUGGGGAGCCCUGGGCUGGGAGCCAGGUCCUUGGCCUGUUUUCUCCCCCACAGUAUGAGGCUCACAGCAGCCAGUCACCCCACAGGGCACUUGGGUGGGCUCCAGGACACCCAGGCCUCGUUCAGGAGUGGCAGCUGCUCCUGCCUUUGGGGCUGGGCGUGAGACCUCCCACUGCAGGACUGGGCAAGGCCAAGCCCAGCAGAGCCCAAGAGCAAACCGUCCCCACCCCGACAGGGGGCCAGGGACCCCAGAGCCCACACAUCUGAGUCUGUCUCCUCAUUGCAAAACGGGAUCGGCGAUCCCAGCUUCACCAGGCCUGUGAGGAGCGCACGGCACAGCCCAGCCUGGGGCCCGCCCAGAGGAGAUAGCCUGCUGGGGGCAGUGGGGCCGUGGAAGGCGGUCUGGGGGUUGGAGAGCACAGAGCACUCGUACCAUUUCACGAGGCGGAAAGCAGAAUGUUCUAACCUCUGCCUGGCCACCUGUCGGCCGUGUGACCCUGCGAAGGCAGUGUUACCCCGCGGCCCCAGUGUGCUCACCUCUAAGAUGGACUGACAGUAGCACGCCCCUCACCAGCUUUCCCUCAGGGGUCCCCAGGAUGGUGGUGGCCAUGGUGGCAGCCAUGGUGACGUUCAUCCAGGCUGACGGUGCCUUUGGGCACGGAGUGCAGCGCCGUCCGGGCUCUCCAGCGCUGCCCCCGCUGCCUGCCCCAGGGGAGCCGGCUUCCUUGCCUGAAAGGACGAGCAGCCUCCUGGGGCCUCUCCCAAAGUGGGGGCAGCUCAGGUCGCCCUGCACAGCAGGACCAGACUGACCAGAGCCCGUGGGGAGGGCAUCCCCACCUGUCCAGUGGGCGGGGGGAGGCUGGUCCUGAGGCCACUGGCCGUCUUGGGGCAGCUGGAGAGGGAGAAGGUGGGUGGCCAGAGGGACACUUACAGCACCUUUGUGACACAUGGUCCAACAACCGAUGGUCUUCCGCCCGGCGUCACCAGUGCCAGAGAUGUCCCCUGGGAACAUUAUGGCCGUUCCUGUGCCAAUGGGAGUGAUCCAGUCAGUGGAACGGUUCCCCCAAAGCCACAUUGCGAUGUCUGUCCCCUCCCGCCCUCCCUCCGUCUCUCUCCUCUCUUUCCCUCGGGUUGGUGGUUUUCACCCGUGCAGCCCUCUCCGUGAGGCCGCUCUGGGCCGUGCGUACCCCCAGGGCUCCUGCCGGCCUGUCCCGCAGCCCCGUUUCCCGCAGCACUCCGGCCAGCCCCGGGAGGUGCCUCCGGAAGCCACGGAGCCGUCCGCGUGCCACGACUGACGGCCCUUUGGGGUGAGGUAGUAGGUUGUAUAGUUUGGGGCUCGGCCCUGCUGUGGGUGACUAUACAACCUACUGUCUUUCCUGAAGUGGCCGCAACACCGCCGAUGGACAGCGCCCGGGACCCUGGCUGGGGAGGGCAGCAGCCCUGCUGGGGUGGGGGCAGGGGCUGCCCGCCACUGGGUCUGGUAGGCCUACCUUCCACUUGCUGUGCGACCUGGGCAGGGGCUUUGACCCUUCUGGGCUUCGUUUUCCUCAUCUGUGAAAUGGGGACCAAUGAGGAUUGAAGACGAUACUGCGUGAGGCGUGCAGAGCAGGGGAGGGCUCAAAGUGGACCGUUCUGUCCCCCUACGCUGCACUGAGAGCUGGGGGGCCCAUGGGGCAGCUUGUCUCCCCCCCCAACCCCCACUCCCUGCAUCUGGAAUGUGUCCUUCUCUUCAUCCCUGUGGCCGGCAGUGGGCACCAGGGGGAACAGCCCUGGACCCAGAGGAUGAGCCUGAGGUUGCAGGGCAGGCCCCCAGGGAGGCCCCCAGGGAACCUCCGCACCUCCCCCCUCCCCAGCAUCCUCGCCUCCCUGCCCAGCUCAGCAUCAGGCCUCUGAUCAGCGAUGGCCCCUCCACUGGAGAGGGGCCUGAGGCCUCCCCAUCCCUCGCCACUCACCAUUCCAGGUAGGAAGUGCGAGGAGGGUUCUGUGAGCACUCUGUGGCCCCUCGGGGACACGAGCCCCCUCCACCCCACCCCUACGACCUGCAGGUGGAUGGUGUGGGCUGCACCGUCUGCGCCAUCUGCAUUGUCCCCCCUGCCCUGCGCCUGCCCAGCCUUCCAGCUCGGCUCUGGUGGCCACUGACCACCAGGCAGGGGCUGGGGCUGGGCGUGGGGCAGUGGGGGGACAGCGGACCCUCCCGCCCCCCGGGCACCGGCGGGGUGAGGUAGUAGGUUGUGUGGUUUCAGGGCAGUGAUGUUGCCCCCUCGGAAGAUAACCAUACAACCUACUGCCUUCCCCGAGGAGCCCAGCGACACGUCCCCACGGGAGGGCCCGCCCCCGCUCCCAGCAGGUGACUCGGGCCUGAGCCACAGGCCAGGUGGGUGGAGGCCGUGGCGUGCACACCUCGACUUUAAUAAAAGCUGUUCUGAUGUGAAUCCGGAGUCCUGCCCUGUUUUUUCCAAAAGCCCGGGACAGUGGGUCGUGGAGGGCGUGCACACGUUGGCGGUGUUGCGGGGCACAUCGGCCGUGGAGGAGUGUGUGGCGUGGCUGGGAGCCGUGUCCGGACUCUGGGGAUCAGCACACUUGCCCAGGCGCAGAGGCCCAUGGGCCCUUCCAGUGGGUCCAGUCCUGGACCCCAGGCCCCCGACGUGUCGCUCAGUCCCCGUCCUGUGGAGAGACCCCCAUAGAACCUGCAGGCGUCGUGGACCCCAGUCGGCAGCUGCAGGCACAGGCCGGGGCCCAGCCUCCACGGUCACCUCAGCGCCGGGUGCUCGAUCUGAGCCCGGACGUUCCCAUCUCCUGCGCUUGGCCCCCUCAGGACAGUUUCUGGGGUAGCCCUCAUUUCUGGUGUCCACUCUUGGGCCAACUCUCUUCCCAAGAGUCCACUCAUGUUUCUCCCAGGGGUCUCAAGCCUCACGUCGACGGCCGCUGCGACCUUGUCCCCACAAUUGCAGAGUCUGGGAACUAGAAGAGGCCUGUGCAUCCUGACGGAGCACGGAGCACUGAGCACUCCCCUCGGGCAGGCGCUGGCCUGGCUGAGGCCACGUCCUGCCCCCGUGCCGUGGUGCCUGGCGCAGACCCGAGGAGGCACCACGUUCCCUGGCUGGGGCCGGCCCCCCGAGUCUGCCCACGGCCCCCCGUGAGAGGUAACUCCAGGCUGGCUCCUGCCAACAGCACCGGGCACACCAAACUGGACGCCAGCACAGUCCUCCAGUGCGCCAGCCUGACGGGGACAGGCAAGACGCGGACAGUCCUCAGACAGUGAUCCGGGAUCGGACUCUGGGGCAGGGACCAGAGGCGGCUCCUGACUGAGCCAGGGGCCCACAGGGGCCCAGACUGAGACGGGCAGUUCUUGGUCAGGUAUGUGGCAGCCCGAGGCCUUGGCGGGAGCUUCCUCCUGGUGCCCCGGCCCCUCCCACCGUGACUGUCCCCAAGCCACCAUCUUGGCCCCAGCCUCCAUCCCGAGCACCCUGGCCUCCUGCUGCUGGGCUUCUCCAGCUCGAUACCCAUCGCGGUCUGCUUGCUCUGAGAGCUGCUGCUGCACUCUGGGUCGGGGAUGGUGGGAGCCCAGAGCAGAAGUCUUCUGACACCAGGGGCCAUCUGAGCUGGAUCUUGACGGCCUUGUGGGAGUUUGCAGCAGGAGCCAGAGAAGAGGCCAUCCCGGGGGCGUGCCCCAUCAUCCCUUCUGCCAUCGUGCUGUGGCAGCGGGGUGGGUGACAAACUGGGGCACUGACUUCGUCCUCGCUCACAGUCGGUCAGUGGCGAGUCUGGCCGCUUGUGGCCAUUUCUAUUCCUGCCUUCUCUGCACCCCCCUCCCUCUGCCCUCGGAGCUUCUUUGUCCAGACCCUUGGCCUCCUGUGCGCAGCCCCGUGCUCACACCUGCGCAUGUUCGCACCUGGACCCCUCCUGCUCCGUCAGGCUCCUUGGGGCUCUGAGCGCACAGCCCCUUCCUCCGCAUGUCCGCAGCUCAGGCACCACCUCUGACCACAGUCGUCUGGGUCUAAGCCAAUGUCCUGAGUUCAGCCUUUCCUCCCGACUCCUCCGCUGUGCCCAGCCCUGCAGCUGGAGCUCACAGACUGGUGGGGAGCUGCCAGGGACAUGCAGCAGCUGCUCCGUGUGGUCAGCUCUAUGGUUGGGGCAGCUCAGGGGCUGGGAGACCUGGACCAAGCCCUGUAGUCAGGGACGGCUUCCUGGAGGAUGUGAUUUACCAGGAUCACCCAGUGUCCCUUCCCACAUUCCAGCCAACCUUCUGUCUGUCCUCUGCCACCUGGCUAUCCCUAGAGACAAGGGUGUCAGAACCCACCAAAAUGUGAGCCUGAGUGCCACAGGGAGAGGAGGGGGCAGGGGGGCACGGUUCCCCAUCGUGUGGCUGUCAGCGGUAUGUGGAAACAGUUCAGUCUUGAAACACACCAGAUGGUGUCAUCAGCCUGGUCGAAGCCACUAUUUUAUUCUUGUCCCCUCAUCCAGGGCGGGGAGGCCCCACCGGUGGCAGAAAGGGCCCUGCCUUUGGGGACACAGGCCCAGGACGAUAGCUCUACUCCUCAAGCCUCGGUUUCCCCAUCCCACUUGGUAGGGCGGCGUGACGAUGUCAGGAGACAGCAGCUCAGAGAGCUCAGCUGGGGCUGGAGGAGGCGUAGGACAAGGCGGGGCCGGACAGGAGGACCCAAGUCCCUGCCUGCAGCUGGGCAUCUGGCGCCACCUGCUGGCCGGUCUGGGCUGCGGCACCCGGCAGGGCUCUGGCCUGGGGCGGGCCAGCAGGUGAGCUCCCUGGGCGGACUGUGAGAGCAGAGCCAGGGCUACAGGGCACUGAGGGAUGGGGCAGUCACCCAGGGCCCGGACGACGUGAGGUGGCAGAGGCCCAGCAUCUCAGGGGCCUCCCUCUCGGGGUCACGUGGCACAGCUGGCCUGUCCAUCAGCCUGGAAGGCACAGAGCUACAGCCCACAUAACUGCUAGGAGCCCACAAAGAGGUUGCAUUUCAGUUCCCUUUGAAAUCCAAAGGAACAAUGAAUACAGGUUUCCCCUGCCAUCCGAAAGUACGAUGUUCCCUAGGAAAGUUUCCCUAAACUGCAAUGGCAUAAAGCAAAGUUGCAGUUAACCAUUAAUUUAUAUGAAAAAAAAAUGUUAGAAUGUUCCAGACCUAAUAAAUCACCUCUCUUAGACUUUUCUGAUACUCUUAGGACACGUCCUGCUAACGGAUGCACAAAAUAACUCGAGAUCAAGCACAGAUGCUCGCAGACACGGUUCAGAGCUGCGGCAGCUGGAUGCAGAAGGCGUCUCUGGGAAGGGGCUGGCUGGGGCCGUUUGCGGCCCUGCUGCUCGGGGCACGCACUGAGUCUGCACCGGCUCGCUGUGAAACCAAUGCUGAAUGCUAUUUUCCCUUUUCCCUCUUUUUUUCCCCCAUGAAAACUGAACUCCUCUUUGGAUUUUUUUCAGUUAGCAAAAACAGGUACUAAAAUAGGUCUUUUGUAAAAGCCAAAUGCCCUACCAUGAACUUCUGAAAACAUUGUAUGCACACAAUAUGUAUGGUGAAUCCUAUAAUUGUGCACAGGAUACACACGUGACCUCUACAAUAAUGGACCUGUCCUGGAUUAGAUUUCACUUUAUACCCGCCAGUCAUAGGGCAUGUUCUCUAGUGUGAUUUACGAAGGAAGGACCCAGGAAGGGAACACGCCCCCGCCCACGGCGCUAGGCCCAGCCCACCUGCAAGCACGGCUGUCGCACUGCCCCGCCAAGAGGGUGAGCGCCUCUUUCUGUCCCGCCCGCUGUCGCCCUGGCAGUGCUCUCCUUCCCCUCCCAGGCAGCCAGAGCCCAGCCGGCCGCUGCCCUGCAGCCCUGCGCGCAGACCGUGCGUUUCCCGACAGCGACACCGUGUGGCAGCAUGAGGCAUGGCAGCCAUGGGCCCGAGGCUGUGGAAGGAGAUCACCGCUCUUGGGCCAGAAGCCUCAGGUUCAAGGUCAACCCAGGGGCGGGGCCCUGGGGAUGCUUCUGCUCCUCUGGCGUGUGCGGAUGCAGCGUGUCCCCUGUAGCCCCCGCCAGCCCCUUCAUGCUCUGGGCGCACCCAGUCACCCCUGCUGUUGCCCCGUCACUGAGCGCCAAGCCCCAGGUGACACAGCCAGCGGCGUCCUGUUCACGCCACUGAGCCCUCAGCAUCACUGCCCUCCCAUUGGCACAGCCACACCCAGAGCAGACCCGUGAAGGGCACGGGCACCCUCCGCAUGCAGGGAUCCGAGCUGCGGGAACUCUGGCCCAGGCUGUCCCCAGUCUCCCCUCAGGAAGGAAGAGGCUCCCCAAGCGUGGGAGGAUGGGGGCCCUGGCUUGUUUGGAUACCUGGAGGUGGCGGUGGCCCCGGAAGAGGAGCCUGAAGGCGAAGCUGGGGCUUCGGUGGCUGGGCUGAAGAGGACGGGUUCUUGGGGGUGACCCCAGAAGGGCCUGGGUCUUGCUGUCAUGCCCACGGCCCCCUGGCAGAGACUUCAAGCCACCCAGUGUCAUUUCGCAGAGCUGGGUCUCCCGGAUGUUGUUGCCUCCUGGAGUGGGCAGGGCCUGAAGGGCCAGAGAGCACUGGGGGCCUGGGGGUCUAGGGUGUCCCCACGGAGGCUGGGUGAGGGUGCCCCACUCAGCCUGUCUCUCUCUAAAAGGGGGGUAGGGAGCAGCCAGGUUGCCCAUGUCAGACCCUGGACAGCUGGGGGCGCUGAGACGGGCCCGGGGCAAGCGGGGGGGACAGGGCCAUUCUGGGGCCUGACGGAGGUUCACGCUGUCACCCGUGUUCAGUGAUUUCUGGGGGUCUCACAUUUGUCCUGCCCCAGCAGGGUCCCAGAGUAGCCUUGUCCAGUGUUGGUGUUCUGUGAAGCUGUUUGGGUUCCUGGGGGGACAACCAGACCCAGAUGAUGUCCCAGCCCGCUCCCAGCCACCAGCCUGUUCCCGCUUUCUCAGCACUCCCCACCCCCACAGUCUCCAGCUUCCUGGCCCCCACCCCCACUAGGCUGGGGCUCCUGUGGUAUCCCCAGCACCUAGCCCGGCGCCUGGCACACUGUUGAUGCUCAGUAAACACCCAGUGAAUGAAGAAACGAAUUAGAGUGAGCACACGGUCUGCUGGGGGGAGCGCAGCACUGGGAGGGAAACCGGUGGGAGAGGCGGUCGUGCAGGUGGGCGGCAGGAAGCAGCACCUGGAGACCCAGGCUGAAGAGGAACUGGCUGUUCCCUAAAAAGGCCUUGAGAUGUUCUUAGACUCGGAGGGCUCCCUGGAUAAAUACAUCCAGGGCAACUGCCUACAAUGUCCUCUCUUGGAAUUGGUGAGCCUAUUGAAGGCUCUGACAAGGCCUGCAUGGAGAACACAGGCCUCUUAGAUUUGGUUUAACCCACAGUUUCUCAGACAGGCCUGACCAUACCCGCCAAGCUGGUCAAGUCACACCAGCCUGGCCUGGCAGCUCUGCAUUUUCCUCUGGCCACCAAGAGGAGAGAGGGCCCUAAGAGGCAGUGGCCACCAGGCUCAGGCCAACGCAGAUAUGUCCAGACCAUUGUGGUGACCAAGGAGCACCUUGAAGUGUGUGGGUUUGAGAAUCACUGGGAGGUGACCCCAUGGGAUGGGCUGGGGCUGACUGGGUGGCCCAGGCCUCUCCGGUGGACAGGGGGACGGUCACUGAGACAGAGGAGCCAGUCACUGAGACAGAGGAGCCAGGCUGGAGACAGGUCCCAAGCAGCUGAGGUUUAGGACAUCUGUGAGGAGCUCCAGGGACUGACCUUGGGGGCUCCACAUGGGCUGGAGGCCAGGCCUUUGCCCCAGAGAAGGCACGUGGGCCCGCCCUGCAAGAAGCCAGACGGCAGCACUGCGAACCUCCCUCCCUAUGCGUCCUGCCCGAUGGGCAUCCAGGAGACACCCUCGGGCUUCCUCACCACUCACCCUGGGCCUCAGGGUCAGGAAGCUCUCUCCACACCGUGCCUCCCAUGGGAGUCAGGCCUGGCUUGUGAACAGCAGCAAUGUCCCCAAGGACCAGGCCCAGCAGGGGCCUAGGAUGGGGCUUAGAGCUGGACAGCGAGCCCUGGUGUUCUGGGGGGCCCUGAGGCAGGCUGGGGGCCGGGACCCCCAAGGAAGGGAACGGACACACAGUUCCUGGUGCUUCUGUUCUUAGGUAAGGCCUCGAUCCCGGCCGAGGCAAAGCCACCACUUCUCUCUCGUGGAGGCCACCAUUAGGUCCAAGGCCGGUGGCCAUGCAGGGUGGGCCUCGGGACAGGGCAGAGCCUGGCUCGGGUGCGCCCCCCAGACCCGCUCUUGUUUACUCACGGUCACUCAGUGGGCUCUGAGAGGCUGCUAGGGACAGCGGGGCAGGGCCUUGGCUUGGCCGGAUGGAGCACAUGGACCGGACCCACCAGCAGGGGCCUGCACAAGCCCAGCUGUGACCUGAAUCCCUGCAGGACGGGGCCGGGGUCCCCAUGUGCCUUAAGCCACUUUGACCCAGCCCCCCAGCCAGGGGUCCUGAGCAAAUCUAGAAGGAAAGCAGACACGGGUCUGACGUCAGGAGCCUAUCUCUCCCUGAGGGACCCUGGGAGUUCCUGACCGCUCUGUGAGCCUCAGUUUCUCCAUUUACACAACGAGGAGGACCUGAGCUUGAGGGUCCGGGACCAUUUUCAGCUGCGUGUUCCAUGUGCAAUGGCUCUGAUCCGGCCUGCGCACUGACUUCAGGGGUGACCACCAGGUGGCACCCGGCGCCCGGUAAAAAUGCAGCGUGGGCUGGGGAGGG